rnacentral:rRNA from 1 species
ACGCUCGACACCUACGGAGGCAGCAGUGAGGAAUAUUGGUCAAUGGGCGCUAGCCUGAACCAGCCAAGUAGCGUGAAGGAUGAAGGCUCUAUGGGUCGUAAACUUCUUUUAUAUAAGAAUAAAGUGCAGUAUGUAUACUGUUUUGUAUGUAUUAUAUGAAUAAGGAUCGGCUAACUCCGUGCCAGGAGCUGCGGUAAUCUGAGCGGGCUGGCAAGGC